GUUAUAUGGUCAAGUGAAGAAGCGCAUACGGUGGAUGCCUUGGCAGUCAGAGGCGAUGAAAGACGUGGUAGCCUGCGAAAAGCUUCGGGGAGUCGGCAAACAGACUUUGAUCCGGAGAUCUCUGAAUGGGGGAACCCACCUAGGAUAACCUAGGUAUCUUGUACUGAAUCCAUAGGUGCAAGAGGCGAACCAGGGGAACUGAAACAUCUAAGUACCCUGAGGAAAAGAAAUCAACCGAGAUUCCCUUAGUAGUGGCGAGCGAACGGGGAUUAGCCCUUAAGCUUCAUUGAUUUUAGCGGAACGCUCUGGAAAGUGCGGCCAUAGUGGGUGAUAGCCCCGUACGCGAAAGGAUCUUUGAAGUGAAAUCGAGUAGGACGGAGCACGAGAAACUUUGUCUGAACAUGGGGGGACCAUCCUCCAAGGCUAAAUACUACUG
rnacentral:rRNA from 1 species